rnacentral:snRNA from 1 species
CCCAUGGCUGAAUCUGUGCAACA